rnacentral:rRNA from 1 species
GGGGGGGGGCAAGCGUUGUUCGGAAUUACUGGGCGUAAAGCGCGUGUAGGCGGUCCUGCAAGUCUUUCGUGAAAUCCCACAGCUCAACUGUGGAACUGCGAGGGAAACUGCAGGACUUGAGUCCGGGAGAGGAGAGUGGAAUUCCCAGUGUAGCGGUGAAAUGCGUAGAUAUUGGGAGGAACACCGGUGGCGAAGGCGGCUCUCUGGACCGGUACUGACGCUGAGGCGCGAAAGCUAGGGGAGCAAACGGGAUUAGAUACCCCGGUAGUCCUAGCCUUAAACGAUGAGCACUUGGUGUGGCGGGUAUCGACCCCUGCCGUGCCGAAGCUAACGCAUUAAGUGCUCCGCCUGGGGAGUACGGUCGCAAAGGCUG